AAGAUUCAACUUCAAAUCCAGCUUCAAAAACCUACUAGCUGUGUGAUCCCAUGCAAGUCGCUUAACUUGGUUUGCCUCAGUUUCCUCAGCUGUAAAAUAAGCUGGAGAAGGAAAAGGCAAACCACCUCUGCAUCUUUGCUAAGAAAACCCCAAAUGGGAUCAUGAAAGUUAGAAGUAAUUGAAACUACUGAAUAACAACAGCAGAGAGGGUUAGCCACUGGGGGAUUGGAAAAGACUUCAUACAGAAGAUAAUACUUGAACUGCAUCUUGAAGGAAAAGAAAUUCUAUGAAGUAGAAGUAAGGAGAGAGUUUUUUCAAGAAUGAGAGUUGGCCACUAAAAAGGUACAGAGAUGGAGACAGACUGCCACAUGUGAGGAAUGGGGAAAAGGCCAGUUUGAGUGGAUCUCAGAAAACAGAAAUCGGAGUAAUGUAGAAUGAAGACAGAAAGAUAGAUUGAAACUAAGUUCUUAAGACAUUUAAAAUAUAAACAGAGAAGUUGAUACUUUAUCUUGGGGAAAACUGGAGUCUGAAAACAGGAGUAAUGUGGUCAUACCUGCCCUUAAGGAAAAUUACUUUGGCAACUGUGUGUAGGCUAAAUUGGAACAGGAAAAGACUCAAGGAAGAGAGAUGCAUUAGGAGGCUAUUGCAGUAGACUGGGUGAGAAGUGAUGAGAUCCCUAACUAAGGGGAUUGGUAUGUAAGAAGAGAGAAGAAAUCUAUAUGUGAAAGAUGAUGGGUAUUAUAAACAGUAAAAUUUGACAAUUAACUGGAUAGAUGAGAUGAGGGAGAAUGAGGAGUCAAUGACAAUGCCAAGAUUACAAACCUCAGAAAUUAAAAGAAUCUUGGUGCUUUUGGCAUAAAUAAGGAAACCUGGAAGUUGGGUGAAUUUGGAGGAAAAGAUAACGAGCUCAGUUUUGGACAAGUUGAAUCAUUUCUAGCAAUGGUUAUUAUGAUGACUCGUGGACUUUCCUCACCAUUGUCCUCCAGGAAGAAGGAGGAAAAAGAGAUGAAAAUGUGUUAUAAACUAGAGAGUACAGUCACAACAACAAUAACAAACAGAAGGCAAUAUAAAAAUAAAAUGACAUUUGGAAUCAUUUAAGCAGUUAUCACAUAUUUGACUUAAUGGCCCAAUAU
rnacentral:lncRNA from 1 species